GACGAACGCUGGCGGCGUGCUUAACACAUGCAAGUCGAGCGCUGAAGAGCGGUACUUUUACGUAGUGGAGGAGCAGUGGACGAGGGAUUAACGAGUGGUGAGUAUGCUUUUGCGUGGUGGUCAAUAACUGGAAAAGAAUGUUAAUACUGCAUGAAAUCUUUAGACACUCGCAUUAUGUGUGAAGGAUGCAUUUGCAUCACUUAAGGAUGAUGCUGCGUUGUAUUAGCUUGUUGGUGAGGGUGAGGGUCACCAAGGCGAUGAUACAUACCCGACCUGAGAGGGUGAUCGGCCACAUUGGGACUGAGACACGGCCCAAACCCCUACGGGAGGCAGCAGUAGGGAAUCGUCGGCAAUGGACGAAAGUCUGACCGAGCAACGCCGCGUGAGUGAAGAAGGUUGUCGGAUCGGAAAACUCUGUUGGUAGAGAAGAACGUUGGUGAGAGUGGCAAGCUCAUCAAGUGACGGUAACUACGCAGAAAGGGACGGCUAACUACGUG
rnacentral:rRNA from 1 species